AUCUAUGGCCACACCACCCUGAACGUGCCCGAUCUCGUCUGAUCUUGGAAGCAAAGCAGGGUCGGGCCUCGUUAGUACUUGGAUGGGAGAAAUUCUGAGUCCCUGAAGAGC
rnacentral:rRNA from 1 species